rnacentral:rRNA from 1 species
AGAGUUUGAUCCUGGCUCAGAUUGAAUGCUGGCGGCAUGCCUAACACAUGCAAGUCGAACGGAAACGACGAAAACAAUCCCUUCGGGGUGCGUCUUCGGGCGUCGAGUGGCGGACGGGUGCGUAACGCGUAGGAAUCUACCUUAUAGUGGGGGACAACUCGAGGAAACUCGAGCUAAUAUCGUAUAAUUUUUACGAGGGAAAGCAGGGGAUCUUCGGACCUUGUGCUAUUAGAUGAGCCUGCGUCGGAUUAGCUUGUUGGUAGGGUAAUGGCCUACCAAGGCAACGAUCCGUAGCUGGUCUGAGAGGACGACCAGCUACACUGGGAUUGAGACACGGCCCAGACUCCUACGGGAGGCAGCAGUGGGGAAUAUUGGACAAUGGGCGUAAGCCUGAUCCAGUAAUGCCGCGUGUGUGAAGAAGGCCUUAGGGUUGUAAAGCACUUUCAGUAGGGAAGAAAUGCGUGUAGCUAAUAACUGCGCGUCUUGAUGGUACCUACAGAAGAAGCACCGGCUAACUCCGUGCCAGCAGCCGCGGUAAUACGGAGGGUGUAAGCGUUAAUCGGAAUUACUGGGCGUAAAGCGCGCGUAGGCGGUUAUAUAAGUCGGAUGUGAAAGCCCUGGGUUUAACCUGGGAAUUGCAUUCGAUACUGUAUAACUAGAGUUUGGUAGAGGGAAGUGGAAUUCCACAUGUAGCGGUGAAAUGCGUAGAUAUGUGGAGGAACACCAGUGGCGAAGGCGACUUCCUGGACCAAAACUGACGCUGAGGUGCGAAAGCGUGGGUAGCAAACAGGAUUAGAUAUCCUGGUAGUCCACGCCGUAAACUAUGUCAACUAGCCGUUGGGGGAAUUUGUCCCUUAGUGGCGCAGCUAACGCGAUAAGUUGACCGCCUGGGGAGUAUGGUCGCAAGAUUAAAACUCAAAGGAAUUGACGGGGGCCCGCACAAGCGGUGGAGCAUGUGGUUUAAUUCGAUGCAAUGUGAAGAAUUUUACCAGCCCUUGACAUCCUCGGAAUUUAUUAGAGAUAGUUUGGUGCCUUCGGGAACCGAGUGACAGGUGCUGCAUGGCUGUCGUCAGCUCGUGUUGUGAGAUGUUGGGUUAAGUUCUGUAACGAGCGCAACCCCUAUCCUUAGUUGCCAGCACGUAAUGGUGGGAAUUCUAGGGAGACUGCCGGUGAUAAACCGGAGGAAGGUGGGGAUGACGUCAAGUCAUUAUGGCCCUUAUGGGCUGGGCUAUAUAUGUGCUACAAUGGCUGGUACAAGGGUUGCCAACCCGCGAGGGGGAGUUAAUUUCAGAAAGCCGGUCGUAGUCCGGAUUGGAGUCUGCAAUUUGACUCCAUGAAGUCGGAAUCGCUAGUAAUCGCGGAUUAGAAUGCCGCGGUGAAUACGUUCCCGGGCCUUGUACACACCGCCCGUCAUAUUAUGGGAGUGGGUUGCACCAGAAGUAGUUAGCCUAACCUUCGGGAGGGCGAUUACCACGGUGUGAUUCAUGACUGGGGUGAAGUCGUAACAAGGUA